rnacentral:rRNA from 1 species
UACGAAGGGGGCUAGCGUUGUUCGGAAUUACUGGGCGUAAAGCGCGCGCAGGCGGUCUUUCAAGUCAGUGGUGAAAGCCCGGAGCUCAACUCCGGAAAUGCCAUUGAAACUGUGAGACUUGAGGAUGAGAGAGGUGAGUGGAAUUCCCAGUGUAGAGGUGAAAUUCGUAGAUAUUGGGAAGAACACCGGUGGCGAAGGCGGCUCACUGGCUCAUUUCUGACGCUCAGGCGCGACAGCGUGGGGAUCAAACAGG